UACGUAGGUCCCGAGCGUUGUCCGGAUUUAUUGGGCGUAAAGCGAGCGCAGGUGGUUUAUUAAGUCUGGUGUAAAAGGCAGUGGCUCAACCAUUGUAUGCAUUGGAAACUGGUAGACUUGAGUGCAGGAGAGGAGAGUGGAAUUCCAUGUGUAGCGGUGAAAUGCGUAGAUAUAUGGAGGAAUACCGGUGGCGAAAGCGGCUCUCUGGCCUGUAACUGACACUGAGGCUCGAAAGCGUGGGGAGCAAACGGG
rnacentral:rRNA from 1 species